GGCAGAGUCUGAGGCCCAGACUGGGUCCCCUGAGUCUUUAGCAUGGGGCUCUUCCAAGACCCCGGAGGGUUAUCCACAGGGGAUGGCCCUGCUGGCACUUAUGGAGGGGAGAGCUUAUGGGAGACACGUCGGUGGCAGAGAACCUGUGACAGUCGUUCCCAGACGUUUUCUAAGACGUUGUCGUUCAUACAGACUCAUCCGACUAUGCUGUCAUUGUGCUAUUUACUUGUCUGUCGAUUGGAACAGUGGCAGAUCUUCAGCCCAGCUGUAUAUCGCACCCUAGCACCACCUGGGAGAUUACAAACACCAAGCUUCUACCCCACAGAUUCUGAUUUGGUUGCUCUGGGGUGGGACACAGGCAUUUUUCCUCUCCUUGAGUGAUGCCAAUGUGCCGCCAGGGCUGAGAUGUCACUCUAGUGACUGUCACCUUUCUACAGGAGGGGGCAGGGGCCUCCUGAUGACAGGAGACAACUCAGGGCAAGCAAAAUUCUGAAAUGUGGUCGGCCUCCAGCCCCACUAAUUAUGCAGGGGUACUGAGUUUCUCAA